rnacentral:rRNA from 1 species
GAUGAACGCUGGCGGCGUGCCUAAUACAUGCAAGUCGAGCGAACAGACGAGGAGCUUGCUCCUCUGACGUUAGCGGCGGACGGGUGAGUAACACGUGGAUAACCUACCUAUAAGACUGGGAUAACUUCGGGAAACCGGAGCUAAUACCGGAUAAUAUAUUGAACCGCAUGGUUCAAUAGUGAAAGACGGUUUUGCUGUAUCUUAUAGAUGGAUCCGCGCCGCAUUAGCUAGUUGGUAAGUUAAAGGCUUACCAAGGCAACGAGGCGUAGCCGACCGGCGAGGGUGAUCGGCCACACUGGAACUGAGACACGGUCCAUACUCCUACGGGAGGCAGCAGUAGGGAAUCUUCCGCAAUGGGCGAAAGCUUGACGGAGCAACGCCGCGUGAGUGAUGAAGGUCUUCGGAUCGUAAAACUCUGUUAUUAGGGAAGAACAAAUGUGUAAGUAACUAUGCACGUCUUGACGGUACCUAAUCAGAAAGCCACGGCUAACUACGUG